CCUGUGAGGGUUGCUGGAGGUAUCAGAAGUGCGAAUGCUGACAUAAGUAACGAUAAAGCGGGUGAAAAGCCCGCUCGCCGGAAGACCAAGGGUUCCUGUCCAACGUUAAUCGGGGCAGGGUGAGUCGACCCCUAAGGCGAGGCCGAAAGGCGUAGUCGAUGGGAAACAGGUUAAUAUUCCUGUACUUGGUGUUACUGCGAAGGGGGGACGGAGAAGGCUAUGUUGGCCGGGCGACGGUUGUCCCGGUUUAAGCGUGUAGGCUGGU
rnacentral:rRNA from 1 species